rnacentral:lncRNA from 10 species
AACUUGGAGGAGGGCAGCCCGGGCAGCGGCACCUACACCCGCCACGGCUACAUCUUUUCGUCGCUUGCCGGCUGUCUGAUGAAGAGCAGCGAGAAUGGCGCGUUUCAGAGAUAGAUCCAGGAUUAGCUCAGGAUCAUAUAAGCAAUAUUUGAAGGAGCACAAUAGAAAGAGGAUUCAGAAUUAGAACAGUUACGUUCUGGCUAACUUGACUUUGAUUCUGCUUUGACCAAUACCAUGCUCAAAGAGAAAACUCUGCAAGU